ensembl:lncRNA PXN-AS1 PXN antisense RNA 1
CGCCUUUAAGUAGGGUCGCGAAGGAAGGCGCUGCCUCGCGUUGGAGGAGCUUGCUCUGAGCUGCUGCCACCUGCUGGGCUGGAGCUGGAGCUGGAGCUGCGAAUUCGGAGUCCCGGUUCCCUGUGCCACCUGGCGAGCUCAGCAAACUAAAAGUCUCUUUGUCUUCAUCGUUUCCGGCACUGAUGUGAGCACAUCAUAAGCACAAGACCUGGACACCUUUACAAUCAGAGGGCCUAGGACUGGAGCUCUGGAUCUGACCGGAGCAAAGAGGAAGCACGCAAAUCCGGACAUGACGACGAGGAGGCAGUAGAGACCCAUCCUCAACUGUGCCCUUGUUGAGCUGCUUGAGGCAGAAGGCACAGACGAAGUGCUCGGGGUGGAACUUCUUGGCCAUGGCGGUGAUGCAGCGGCCGGUGAUGGGCUUCUGGCAGCCAGAACACAGCGAGCCGCGCCGCUCGUGGUAGUGCACCUCACAGUAGGGCUGCCCGUCGUGCUCGAAGAAGCUGCCGUUCACGAAUGGCGUGAAGCAUUCCUGCCAGGCGGAGAGAGGGGCUCAGGGAGCUGCCCCUCGGGCUAGAGCUGCACCCUGUGUGAUGGGGCCGAGGUGGGCAUAGUCGGCACGCUCGGAGUGACUCCUACUUGCUAGGCGUUUCCCAUGUGCCGUGUUGUCCUAAACGCUCAUUUUUCAUUUUUAUUUUAUUAAAUAAAUUUUUUUUGUAGAGAUGGGGGUCUCACUAUAUUGCCCAUGCUGGUCAAAUGUGGCCUCCUGCAAUCCUCCCACCUCGGCCUCCCACAGGGCUGGGAUUAUUUAGUUCUCCCAACAGGGGAGGCAACUGAAGCACACAGGUGAAGUAACUUGCCCAGGGUCAUGCAGCUACUGAGGUCACAGCCUGGAUUCAUACACAGGUCUGACUCCUGAGCACUUAGCCAGGUGGCUGUAACAGUGUUCCCAGAAACACAGGUGUGACACUGGUCUGUAGUCAAACUCUGCCUCCUAGAUUCUCAUUGGAGAUUCACAUCACAUAUAGGUAGAAAAGGCUCUGAGAGGGGCCGGGUGAGGUGGCUCACACUUGUAAUCCCAGCACUUUGGGAGGCCAAGGGAGGCGGAUCACCUGAGGUCAGGAGUUCAAGACCAGCUUGGCCAACAUGGUGAAACCCCGUCUCUACUGAAAAUACAAAAAAUUA